rnacentral:rRNA from 1 species
UACGAAGGGUGCAAACGUUGCUCGGAAUCAUUGGGCGUAAAGCGCACGUAGGCGGCGCAGCAAGUCAGGGGUGAAAUCCCGGGGCUCAACCCCGGAACUGCCCUUGAAACUGCAGUGCUAGAAUUCUGGAGAGGCGAGUGGAAUUCCGAGUGUAGAGGUGAAAUUCGUAGAUAUUCGGAAGAACACCAGUGGCGAAGGCGACUCGCUGGACAGACAUUGACGCUGAGGUGCGAAAGCGUGGGGAGCAAACAGG